rnacentral:rRNA from 1 species
UGAUUGAACGCUGUCCAAGUACUUGACACAUGCUAAUCGAACGACUAAUUAGUUUGUAAAAACUGAGUAGUAGUGGUGUACAGGUGAGUAAAAGAUAAUUUGGCUACCUUAAAGUAAGGGGAAAAUCCCUUAUAUAAGAAAGGAAAUUAAAAGGUCCGCUUUAAGAUGUUAAUCUUUAUCUCGGUGAGUAGUAGGAAAGGUAAUGACUUUUCUAGCUAAUAUCCGUAGUCGUGACUGAGAGGUCGAUCGACCACAUUGGGUCUGAAAAAACCCCAAUGCGUAUUAGUACAGCAGUGAGGAAUAUUGGUCAAUGGCCGAAAGGCUGAACCAGUAACUUGGAAGAAUGAAAGUGUAUUAUAAUAAUACAAUAACGAUUAACUCGUAUAAAAUUCUAAAUAGGAUAAUGAUAAUGACAAUUUCCUAUUUAUAAGUCUUGACCAAAUUACGUGCCAGCAGUCGCGGUAAUACGUAGAAGACUAGUGUUAGUCA